UACGUAGGGUGCAAGCGUUGUCCGGAUUUAUUGGGCGUAAAGAGCUCGUAGGCGGUCUGUCGCGUCGGAUGUGAAAACCCAGGGCUCAACCCUGGGCCUGCAUUCGAUACGGGCAGACUAGAGUGUGGCAGGGGAGACUGGAAUUCCUGGUGUAGCGGUGAAAUGCGCAGAUAUCAGGAGGAACACCGGUGGCGAAGGCGGGUCUCUGGGCCGAUACUUACGCUGAGGAGCGAAAGCGUGGUGAGCGAACAGG
rnacentral:rRNA from 1 species